UCGUCAUCGUCGGCGGCCGGAACACCGCCGCCGUCAAACAGGUGUCAGAGGGCCUGUUGGCGCUGGGCUACCCGCGGGUCUGCACGCUGCACCGCGGCGCCGACGCGCUACGCGACGCGCAGGCCCUGCAGGUGCCCUCCAGCUAGGUUGGUCGCCCCUGCCAUCUGUUGAGCGGGCCGUGCACCACGGCCGCGUUACCGCCAUCUGUCGGUCAAGACGGACACUGCCGCCGGCCCCGCCACUGGCCGGCCACGGAAAGAGUGGCAUAUGCCAAGUCACGCGGCCUCGCCCAUCGCACCGGACCGCCCGCCCCCCAAGCGCCGUGGGCGUUAAAGGUGCAAGACACGGGUCUGCCAUUCCAAAAGUGCGUUGUGAUGUAGGUUGCAUCAGAGCUUAAUGAUUUAUGCGCGGCAUUUCCAGGGCGCAUUGAGUUACCUGCGUCUCAGUUUAACGGUGUCACCGUCAUAUUUUUACGUAGGGAGUGCUACUUAUAAUGUAUUGUCACUUCGCUGCCGCCGUUGAGCGUUAUUGCGACGUGAGGAGGUGAAUCUGCGGACGCUGGGCCGACCGUCGGCUGGCUCGAGCGCUGCCAACAGUGACCAACGGUGCGACAACGCACUGUGCACAGCGUGGAGUGAAUCCUGCUUAUCGCCUGCUGGAAUGUGACGAUGCCUGGGCGGGAUAGUUGAGCGCGCUCUCAGUUUACCAGUGUGAAGAGGCGUGCGACUGCGACUUCGUGCCACUGCACUGUCGCAGGGCCGUUAUUGGGAACAGCCAUGUAUGGCGAUGCAUUAUACUGCAAGUGGACCAUGCAAGAUGCGAGAAUUUACAAGAGAAUAUAAUAUCGUUUCACGCCUUGGCA